GGAGAGGGACGGGUGGUCGCGGGUCUGAUUGGCCCGAGGAAAGUCCGGACUCCACAGGGCAAGGUGCUGGGUAAUACCCAGGAGGAGCGAUCCUCGGAAAGGGCCACAGAAACUUCAAACCGCCCGAAGAGGGCAAGGGUGAAAAGGUGAGGUAAGAGCUCACCAGCAUCGGGGUGACCCGAUGGCUCGGUAACCCCCACCUGGAGCAAGGCCGAGCAGGGGUGGGUGGCCCGCCCAUAACCCCGGGUAGGCCGCUUGAGGAGGGCGGAAACGCUCUCCCCAGAUAGAUGACCACCCUCGACAGAAUCCGGCUUACAGUCCCUCUCCGUGA
rnacentral:RNase_P_RNA from 1 species